GGGGAAGUAGCUCAAUUGGUUAGAGUACCGGCCUGUCGAGCCGGUUGUUGCGGGUUCGAGUCCCGUCUUCCUCGCCA
rnacentral:tRNA from 1 species